CCUACGGGUGGCAGCAGUGGGGAAUAUUGGACAAUGGGCGAAAGCCUGAUCCAGCCAUGCCGCGUGUUUGAAGAAGGCCUUCGGGUUGUAAAGCACUUUCAGUGGGGAAGAAAGCCUUGGGGCUAAUACCCUCGAGGAAGGACAUCACCCACAGAAGAAGCACCGGCUAACUCCGUGCCAGCAGCCGCGGUAAUACGGAGGGUGCGAGCGUUAAUCGGAAUUACUGGGCGUAAAGCGCGCGUAGGCGGUCUGAUAAGCCGGUUGUGAAAGCCCCGGGCUCAACCUGGGAACGGCAUCCGACACUGUCAGGCUAGAGUGCAGGAGAGGAAGGUAGAAUUCCCGGUGUAGCGGUGAAAUGCGUAGAGAUCGGGAGGAAUACCAGUGGCGAAGGCGGCCUUCUGGACUGACACUGACGCUGAGGUGCGAAAGCGUGGGUAGCAAACAGGAUUAGAUACCCGUGUAGUC
rnacentral:rRNA from 1 species